AGAUUGAACGCUGGCGGCAUGCUUUACACAUGCAAGUCGAACGGUAACAGGCCGCAAGGUGCUGACGAGUGGCGAACGGGUGAGUAAUGUAUCGGAACGUGCCCAGUCGUGGGGGAUAACGCAGCGAAAGCUGCGCUAAUACCGCAUACGAUCUAUGGAUGAAAGCGGGGGACCGUAAGGCCUCGCGCGAUUGGAGCGGCCGAUAUCAGAUUAGGUAGUUGGUGGGGUAAAGGCUCACCAAGCCAACGAUCUGUAGCUGGUCUGAGAGGACGACCAGCCACACUGGGACUGAGACACGGCCCAGACUCCUACGGGAGGCAGCAGUGGGGAAUUUUGGACAAUGGGCGCAAGCCUGAUCCAGCAAUGCCGCGUGCAGGAAGAAGGCCUUCGGUUGUAAACUGCUUUUGUACGGAACGAAACGGUCCUGGUUAAUACCUGGGCUAAGUGACGGUACCGUAAGAAUAAGCACCGCUAACUACGUGCCAGCAGCCGCGGUAAC
rnacentral:rRNA from 1 species